UACGAAGGGGGCUAGCGUUGCUCGGAAUCACUGGGCGUAAAGCGCACGUAGGCGGCUUUUUAAGUCAGGGGUGAAAUCCUGGAGCUCAACUCCAGAACUGCCUUUGAUACUGAGAAGCUUGAGUCCGGGAGAGGUGAGUGGACCUGCGAGUGUAGAGGUGAAAUUCGUAGAUAUUCGCAAGAACACCAGUGGCGAAGGCGGCUCACUGGCCCGGUACUGACGCUGAGGUGCGAAAGCGUGGGGAGCAAACAGG
rnacentral:rRNA from 1 species